AUGCAAGUCGAACGAUACCAGAGAGCUUGCUUUCUGGGAAAGUGGCGCACGGGUGCGUAACGCGUAUGCAACCUACCUUAAUCAGGGGGAUAGCCUCUCGAAAGAGAGAUUAACACCGCAUAACAUCAUUUUACGGCAUCGUAGAAUGAUCAAAUAUUUAUAGGAUUAAGAUGGGCAUGCGUGACAUUAGUUUGUUGGUGAGGUAACGGCUCACCAAGACUACGAUGUCUAGGGGAUCUGAGAGGAUGACCCCCCACACUGGUACUGAGACACGGACCAGACUCCUACGGGAGGCAGCAGUAAGGAAUAUUGGUCAAUGGGGGCAACCCUGAACCAGCCAUGCCGCGUGCAGGAAGACGGCCCUACGGGUUGUAAACUGCUUUUAUACGGGAAUAAACCUCACUACGUGUAGUGAGCUGAAUGUACUGUAAGAAUAAGGAUCGGCUAACUCCGUGCCAGCAGCCGCGGUAAUACGGAGGAUCCAAGCGUUAUCCGGAUUUAUUGGGUUUAAAGGGUGCGUAGGCGGCCUAUUAAGUCAGGGGUGAAAGACGGUGGCUCAACCAUCGCAGUGCCUUUGAUACUGAUAGGCUUGAUUACACUUGAGGUAGGCGGAAUGUGACAAGUAGCGGUGAAAUGCAUAGAUAUGUCACAGAACACCAAUUGCGAAGGCAGCUUACUAAGGUGUUAAUGACGCUGAGGCACGAAAGCGUGGGGAUCAAACAGGA
rnacentral:rRNA from 1 species